ensembl:lncRNA
CAGCUGCUUUCUAUAAAGAUGGCUCCCUCAUCAGGAAGCAGCCUACAGGUCACAUGACCAUCCAGCAUGUUUCCAGGUCUGAUGAAGGCCUCUACAAGUGUGACAUCAGCGGUCAUGGAGAGUCUCCAUCCAGCUGGAUCACUGUCACAGACAAACCCACCACCACACCUCCACCUACAUCCACACCUCCACCUACAUCAGCCUCUAUUACUACAAACACUCCUGCUUAUUCCUCGUUCCUUCUCUGUGUGUUAUUUCCUGUUGGAGCAGUCUGUGUUUUGGUUCUACUGGUGUUACUGGUUCUUAGACAGCAUUUUCGGAGUAAACCUGAAGGCAUUCAUGGAACGCCAUAACCAAGUGGCCGGCAUGGUGUACAGGAACAUCUGUGCCGAGUAUAACCUGGAAGUCCCAAGGUCAAAAUGGGAGAUGCCCCCAAGGGUGAUGGAGAAUGACCGAGCUAAGAUCAUGUGGGACUUCCAGAUACAGACGGACAAAAUGGUGGUGGCUAACCAACCGGACAUAGUGGUGGUAGACAAACAGAAGAAGACGGCUGUAGUGAUCGAUGUAGCGGUUCCGAAUGACAGCAAUAUCAGGAAGAAGGAACACGAGAAGCUGGAGAAAUACCAAAGGCUCAGAGAAGAGCUCGAGAGGAUGUGGAGGG